rnacentral:rRNA from 1 species
UACGGGGGGGGCAAGCGUUGUUCGGAAUUACUGGGCGUAAAGGGUGCGUAGGCGGUUGUUUAAGUCUGUCGUGAAAUCCCCGGGCUCAACCUGGGAAUGGCGAUGGAUACUGGGCAGCUAGAGUGUGUCAGAGGAUGGUGGAAUUCCCGGUGUAGCGGUGAAAUGCGUAGAGAUCGGGAGGAACAUCAGUGGCGAAGGCGGCCAUCUGGGACAACACUGACGCUGAAGCACGAAAGCGUGGGGAGCAAACAGG